GGCUGUGAGGGUGGUCUGCUGCCAUACCUGCCACUCCAGUGAUUAACCCUGAUUCAGUUGGUCUGGCUCGUUAGGCAGGUGUCACCUUCCUCCCUCACAGCUCCAUGAGCAUUUUUCCCAAAGCUACAUGCUCAGUGAAAUAAGAUCACCUCCCCCAAUAGAAAAGGACUGUUCUCUGCUCUAGGGUAACCAAGCAGCUGUGAUCCCCUGCUAGAACCUCCAAGCAAGCUCUCAAGAUGCAUAACAUGGCGGACAGCACCAUGUUGGGGAGGGAAAGGGAGCACACAAAGUUGGGUCCUUUUUCCUCUUCUCAUAAAACUAUUGAGGCCUCUGCCCUCAUGACCUUAUCU
rfam:Fukomys damarensis contig118439, whole genome shotgun sequence.